rnacentral:rRNA from 1 species
AUUGAACGCUGGCGGCAGGCCUAACACAUGCAAGUCGAGCGGAUGAAGGGAGCUUGCUCCUGGAUUCAGCGGCGGACGGGUGAGUAAUGCCUAGGAAUCUGACUGGUAGUGGGGGAUAACGUCCGGAAACGGGCGCUAAUACCGCAUACGACCAGAGGGAGAAAGGGGGGGAUCUUCGGACCUCACGCUAUCAGAUGAGCCUAGGUCGGAUUAGCUAGUUGGUGGGGUAAAGGCCUACCAAGGCGACGAUCCGUAACUGGGCUGAGAGGAUGAUCAGUCACACUGGAACUGAGACACGGUCCAGACUCCUACGGGAGGCAGCAGUGGGGAAUCUUGGACAAUGGGCGAAAGCCUGAUCCAGCCAUGCCGCGUGUGUGAAGAAGGUCUUCGGAUUGUAAAGCACUUUUAGUUGGGAGGAAGGGCAGUAAGUUAAUACCUUGCUGUUUUGACGUUACCAACAGAAUAAGCACCGGCUAACUUCGUG